rnacentral:tRNA from 1 species
GCCCCCAUGGCGGAAUUGGUAGACGCAGCAGACUCAAAAUCUGCCGGCCCUAAACCAUACCGGUUCGAGUCCGGUUGGGGGCACCA